GGCGUUACCUGGCACAGAGGUUAACCGUGAUCACCAAGGCGGUUCCUCCAGGCCGAGGCCCUCCCAUUGCACUUCGGUUGGGCUGAAUCCUGCGAGUAUCUCAAAUGUGGAUACCUCGGGUGUAUAAUUUUUGAUAGUCGGUAACCUGCCUCUCACUGC